CAUGAAGUUACGAUUAGAAAAGUAAUUGCUUAACUCACAUAAAGAGAGCCCCGCUGGUGAGAAGGGGAUGUGAGUGGCAGUGAACACACAUCUAUGAACUGGUUAGCUGAACCAAGUAGGCUAUCCCGCUAGUGAGCGUUACCACGGCUACUGUAACUGUUCUCCAAUUUGGACGACUAGUUACGAGCAGCGUAAGGUCGUUUUUGUAAGAAAACGAUGAACGUGAGGUGGAACCGCGAAAGAUCGUCCUCAGA
rnacentral:ncRNA from 1 species